GACGAACGCUGGCGGCGCGCCUAACACAUGCAAGUCGAACGGAGCUGAGAGAAGCUUGCUUUUCUUAGCUUAGUGGCGAACGGGUGAGUAACGCGUGAGUAACCUGCCCUGGAGUGGGGGACAACAGUUGGAAACGACUGCUAAUACCGCAUAAGCCCACGAUCCGGCAUCGGAUUGAGGGAAAAGGAUUUAUUCGCUUCAGGAUGGACUCGCGUCCAAUUAGCUAGUUGGUGAGGUAACGGCCCACCAAGGCGGCGAUUGGUAGCCGGACGGAGAGGUGGAACGGCCACAUUGGGAUUGGGCCACGACCCAGACCCGAGGGGGAGGCGGGGAGGGGGGAAAUUGGACAGGGGGGCAAACCCUGAAGCGCCGCGGCCGGGGGGAGGAAAAAGGUUUUGGAAUUGGAAACCCCCUGCGUUGGGGACGAAAAUGCGGGUACCUAAAAAGAAACACCGGCCAAAUACGUG
rnacentral:rRNA from 1 species